rnacentral:lncRNA from 1 species
GUACCACUGUACAUACUUACUAUGGGUAGCUGCUAAUAAUAGAAAAUAGUAAAAUAAGUGCUUAUGGAAGUAACCUGUAUAUAGAUGGCUACUGCUUGUAGUCAGUUUCUUAAGCUGGAAAAAGUGACAGUAUGCAAAGUCUGCUUAAUGCAUGUCCCAAAUUAAAAUGGGGAAUCAAGUGGUUGUUGCUUUACAUGGAAACCAAAUACAAAAUAAUAAGAACAAAAUAAGGACAUUGGAGAAGAAGAGGUAGCAAAGAGACUGAGAAGAAAAAGAUAUAUAAGGAUAGAAAACUGAGCUUUUUUAAAGCUGAUUUAUAUGUAUAGUUGCAAAUUUAGAUCCAUUUCAGAAGAAAUCCACACAAUAAGUAAUUUUUUUUAAGGAGAUGGAGGGUUAGGGCUUAGGUAAAAUAUUCAGUGCUUGGACCUGUAACAAUCCAUUGGGGGAUUUAUAUCUCACUCCUGGCUGCCGGAAAGGAGGUUCUAGUGUAAAAAUCCACAUUUGAAUAAGAAAAAUGGUGUUACACAAGUCCUUAAAGGAACCAGUUGUUGCACAGUCUUGAGAUGCGCCACUUGUGCAACCACUCUACUUCUAAUGCAAUAACUCUUGGGUCACUUCUAGAUGACCUGUUUAUUGAGCUUUUGUUUAUGGAGAGAUAAGAUAAUGUUGACUGUUUAUUGAGCAUUCAUUCUGAUUUGUUAGCAGGGAGCUUAGCUAAUGCUUCAACGCAAUCUCAAGCUUUCCAGUACAUUUUCCUGUCACUUUCUUUUUUGCAAAACAGUCCUAUUUGGGGGCUUGGGCAGGUUUGUUGAGGUUGACCUAAUCAACUAUAAAUGUGCAGUCUAAAUUUAAAACUUAAAAAUAGCCAUUGUUUGGAAGCACCCUUAGAAGUUGUAGCUAUGUAUGCUCUGUCAACCUUAAACUGGGCCAUAGCAUUGCUCUUCAGCUACUAGAAAUGCAGAAGUUGGAAGCCUUUCCUGUCAAAACUGCAAAAAAAGCAAAAAACUCACAUAUCUAUUUCUUUGAUGCAGAGAGAGAUGAUGAGAUAAAGGAGGACACUUUCUUAGAAUUAUCCCCAAUGCAGGCACAAUUAGAUUGAAGCAAAUUACUGUUCUGUUACCUAAUAUAUGUUUUAUGUUAUUAGAGUAUGAUGAUUGAACAGCACAGAAACAGCCAAAGAUGGAUUAAGAUAAUAGCAUGGAAACUAGCCCUGAAGAAAAGACAGCAUUAUGCCAUCCCUGAAAUGGAUAGCAAGUCCUAUAUGCCAGGAGACUGCUAAGGAUCAUACCAGAGCAUUUAGGGGUCAUGUUUUGAAAUUUCCUAGAUUAAAGGAAACUGAAAUGUAUCAUUACGAGAUGCAGUUAUAUACCUAUUUGUUUCCAUCUGGGCUAAAUGAAGUUAGACAUAGGGAUGGGUGAAUCUGUCAAUUUCAGUUUCUUAUUUUUCCAGUGUCUUAAUUUCUCCAAAUUUCCACAUCAGUUUAUGAUUUUUAAAAAUAUAUCCUUUUGAAAAUUCAUCAGGUUCUUUGUGUAAAUUUCUCCUAAUGUACACAUUUUUACAACAUAGUUUUCCCUAAUAUAAUUCAUUUUUGUAUAUUAUCUUCAAUAAUAUGUGUAUAUUUUGGUACACAUUACUUGGCUGAAGAACUGAAUUGCAAAAUUCAGAGAAUUACUAAAGGAUGGUUCUGUUUUGGUUCACAUAGUGUUUUUGAAAGUAUGAAAGUAUGAAUUAGAUCCCUUUAAGUGGGAACUGAAUCAAAUUUCUCUUCCAUCCCUAGUUAUACAUUAAUUCAUCCUGCUCCAUUAGUUCAAAGACUUUC